rnacentral:rRNA from 1 species
AAAUUGAAGAGUUUGAUCAUGGCUCAGAUUGAACGCUGGCGGCAGGCCUAACACAUGCAAGUCGAGCGGCAGCGGGAAAGUAGCUUGCUACUUUUGCCGGCGAGCGGCGGACGGGUGAGUAAUGCCUGGGGAUCUGCCCAGUCGAGGGGGAUAACAGUUGGAAACGACUGCUAAUACCGCAUACGCCCUGCAGGGGAAAGGAGGGGACCUUCGGGCCUUUCGCGAUUGGAU